AAAAGGCUUCAAUGCAAUGCAUAAAUAUCUCUCAGUCAUGUUUAAGCUUUGGGACAGAAUGUAGGGAUCAUGCACCCUGCAGCCUUGUCUGAGGAGGUCAUAGGCCAGAGCAGUGCCAUUAUGGACAAUAAAGCACUUGCCAUGGAGGACAAUCUGGGCUGUAUUUAACCUUGUAGGCAUGCAGUUAACAACCUAAGAACCAAAACAGGCACUAGCAUUGAGUUGGAGGAGCCCAAAUGAAUCCCUGAAAUGGUGGAGCAUGCCUUUUAGCUGACAGCUUUGGGCAGGUGAGCCCACUCAGGCUGAGAUAUCCUUGAAAAGGAGAUGUUUCUUGCCACAACAUCUGACCUGCUCCUGGGGCUGAACUUGGCUUGUGCAUCAAUUCCCAUUAGAAACAGUUGCAGGAGAUGUGGGUAUGUGAAGAAUGUGAGAAUGUGCUGUGUAUUUAGAGGUCAUUGCUGGUGAGGGAUAUUCAGUAUGCUGUAGGCUGGCACUAUCUGGGUUCUCCCAGAUAGUUUUGGUUUUGGUUUAAACAUGUGCCAGUGAAUUGUAAAUUCUACUGAAUAGAACAAUAUACUACUUUUGUCAGCCAGAAAAUACAGAUUGGGAUAUGUUUCAGCAGAAGAGAUGGUAUUUUAUUUUUUCAUUUCUUCUUCACUUAGU